ACGCUCGACACCUACGGGGGGCAGCAGUGGGGAAUAUUGCACAAUGGGGGAAACCCGUGAUGCAGCGACGCCGCGUGAGCGAAGAAGUAUCUCGGUAUGUAAAGCUCUAUCAGCAGGGAAGAAGAUGACGGUACCUGACUAAGAAGCACCGGCUAAAUACGUGCCAGCAGCCGCGGUAAUCUGAGCGGGCUGGCAAGGC
rnacentral:rRNA from 1 species